GUUUCUGGAGCAAAACGAGAGUACAUGACGUUGAUUUGUUGCACACAGGUUGUUCACAAUCUAUACAUACAUAAGAUGUUGUAGUUCCACAAACAGUGCAAGACAUAAUUUAUACUCGAUUUUGUCAAGAAACUAUAGUAAAUCAUGCAUAUCUAUUUCGUUUUGAUGAGUACCCGGUAUGACGUCACGACGGUGCUAAAAGGCGUUCUCGUCCCAGUACUUUCAUGCUCACGGACAAACGCUCAAAAUAGGAAAAAUCGCCCAACUUUGAGCCCCUGAAAGUCAAUGAAG